AACAAAAGUGAGAGCCGUGGCCGGGGGACGCUGGACCUCGGCGAGCCGGGGUGAUCGAAGGGGAGGAGUCCGGCCGGGGGGGCCCAGCGCCGCUCUAGGGCGGGUCCUUUGCCCCCGCCCGCCCCCGAGGGACGGUGAAUCCCCGGGCGGGUGAGACCUGGCGGCGUGAGCGGCGGCCCCCCCGCGCAGUGUCGCCCCCGAAACGGCCACCGGCGCCCCGGGCGCAGACAGCGGGGCCGCUGCCCGCCGCGGAAGCCCCUGCCUUUCCCCCAAAGCUUCCUGCCCGGCCGGGAUGGGACUCCGGGCUGCUGCUGCCCGACGGUACCGCCCGGCGCACNGCCACCCCCACCCCCACCCGAUGAGCGCAGCACCCCGCGGCCGGGCCCUAUUGCAGUCGCCCAUAAAUGCAAAGGCGAGAAGCCACCAAUACCUGUUUGAGGAGAUGGCAUUUUAAUUAGCUCACUCCAGCUGCCGUAGGCCCCCGGCCCUGUCCCACCUCUCCUCCCCCUCCCACUGCCCUCUCCCAACCUCCCCGCUCACCCCCAUCUAUGUAAAAAAGCCAUAAAGCCUUUCUCCAAUCGCCUUCUUGGAGUUUAUGCAACCCCCAGAACACAGGUUGAUUGGAAAGGUCUCUCUCCUGGAUAACAACAAUUCAAUGUGCCUUGACAUUUUAAUAGCCUGCCGUCCUGGUGAACACAAUCGAGCAAGGGCAGUGAAGCAAAAAUCAUUAGGUGGCUGGACUCAGACACAUCACGCUCCAGUUUGGGUUCCAAGGUGCUUCUCUCUGGAUUUUCACCUGCCUUGCCAAAAAUGAUUGAUUACGCCGGGCUGACUGGGUGUCCGGCAAUACCCAACAAAUGACUUUGGCCCCUAACAGCAGGCCUUGGCCAGAUAGAAAUCAAUAUUUCACCAUUAAAAUCUAUCAAAGAAGAGUUAAGGCACCAUCUGUCCCUGCCGCCUCUCUAUGGUGUGUGAACAUUAAAUCCGACACUUGUACUACAUGGGUAAUCAAUAUAUAGUGGUUCACAGAUCAUUUGUGGUUCCCUUUUAGCAGUGAUGGAUGUCUGGAAUCGUUGUGAUUCAUUUUGUCAGACCAUUAAACAAGAUUCUGUCCAGUUCCUUCCUGAUUUCAUUUAGAGGAUCAUUCUUCACAGUUCAUAAGAGGGAAACGGUUUUACCAAUCUGCUUCUAUUUCAAUAAGUCACUUUAUAGAGAUUUUGUGUCCUCCAGACUGUAAAAAUUCUGGAGAGAUAGUACAAACAGACCUCUAAAACUAUUCACUGCAUGACAUAUGCAUAAAGUGUGAAGAGAGGAAUGUAAAUAUGUUUACCUCUUUAUCUGCAAAUGUUGGUUUUAACCCCCUCCUGGCUGGAGUGCUGGCCUGUGGGGCACUCUCAGAACAGUGCCUGCCACAGCAGGAGGAGGGUGCACUGGUGACCAGGGACCGAUUCUUAGAGGCAGGGGGAACCUCCUGAUCCCUCAGUGCCAUGGUUAAAAGCAAAUGGGAAUGGCUUUUCCAGAGGCUGCAUUUCAGACCUCUGUUUCUACAGUCAAGAUAAUCUUGCAUCUCACCCAAAAGGUUGGCAAAUGCCUCUCGGUACUCUGGUGCAGCAUGCCAACCCAAGACAAGAAACAGUGACUGUGCCCUUGAGGGCAGGGUAUGGAUGAGCAUAAGGACACGCAUGAUCAUAACAGCUGCCAUUUGUGGAGCAUCAACCUGUGCCAGGCGCAAAAUAUGCCCCAGUCUCACCCUUGACAAUUUUACAAGAUAGGUACUCUUCUCCCCACUUUCCAGUGGGGAAACUGAGGCUCGGACAAGUUGAAUAACCUGCCUAAGAUUACCCUACCCAGGGAACUAGAGGGUCACGACUCAGCCCCAGACCUGUCUGACACCCAAGAGCCCACGUGACUGUGGCCAGCUCUUGGGUGUUGGCCAUCACUCCACAAAUGGUUUUGUUUCAAGCCAAGUGAAUUACUUUCAGUCCUCCUGGGCUAUAUACUUACUCCAACCAAUCAGGGUACUGUUAGGAAAUAGAACUUUUUUAUUAUUCUUUUAAGUAAUUCUGCAACAGGAUCACUAACUAAUGCACUCCAAAGCGAAACAAUUUAUUUUAAACCGUUUUCCUGUUUUGGAUUAUUGGAUAAUUAUAUCACUUUGGCUGAUAUAAGUACAGAUAAGCAGAUGUUGAUUUAAAUAUUAGUACAGACACAUACACAUAUGUAUAUAUACAGAUAUGUACACAUAUGCACAUAUAUUUGAUAUAAUGAUUAUAAAUCAUAAUAUAUAUAUAUAUUAUUUGAAAGACUCUAGAGAUGAAGUAGUUUUUCCUUCUCUCCCUUCCUUUUAAAAUUUCCUUUAAAGUAACUGAGUCUCAGAAAGAAUAAAAUCUGACCUGGCGUGAGAAUCUUACUUCCU
rnacentral:lncRNA from 1 species